rnacentral:rRNA from 1 species
UACAGAGGGGGCGAGCGUUGUUCGGAAUUACUGGGCGUAAAGGGCUCGUAGGUGGCCAACUAAGUCAGACGUGAAAUCCCUCGGCUUAACCGAGGAACUGCGUCUGAUACUGGAUGGCUUGAGUUUGGGAGAGGGAUGCGGAAUUCCAGGUGUAGCGGUGAAAUGCGUAGAUAUCUGGAGGAACACCGGUGGCGAAGGCGGCAUCCUGGACCAAUACUGACGCUGAACAGCGAAAGCCAGGGGAGCAAACGGG